rnacentral:rRNA from 1 species
CGGGGGGAGCAAGCGUUGUUCGGAUUUACUGGGCGUAAAGGGCGCGUAGGCGGCCACCGCAAGUCGACUGUGAAAUCUCUGGGCUUAACCCAGAACGGUCAGCCGAUACUGCGGGGCUGGAGUGCAGAAGGGGCAACUGGAAUUCUCGGUGUAGCGGUGAAAUGCGUAGAUAUCGAGAGGAACACCUGCGGCGAAGGCGGGUUGCUGGGCUGACACUGACGCUGAGGCGCGAAAGCUAGGGGAGCGAACGGGAUUAGAUACCCCGGUAGUCCUAGCCUUAAACGAUGAAUGCUUGGUGUCUGGGGUUUUAUAGUCCCCGGGUGCCGUCGCUAACGCUUUAAGCAUUCCGCCUGGGGAGUACGGUCGCAAGACUG